CACGUAGGCGGCUUUCUAAGUCGGGGGUGAAAUCCUGGAGCUCAACUCCAGAACUGCCUUCGAUACUGGAAAGCUCGAGUCCGGGGGAGGUGAGUGGAACUGCGAGUGUAGAGGUGAAAUUCGUAGAUAUUCGCAAGAACACCAGUGGCGAAGGCGGCUCACUGGCCCGGUACUGACGCUGAGGUGCGAAAGCGUGGGGAGCAAACA
rnacentral:rRNA from 1 species